UACGUAGGGGGCAAGCGUUAUCCGGAUUUACUGGGUGCAAAGGGAGCGUAGACGGCAGCGCAAGUCUGGAGUGAAAUGCCGGGGCUCAACCCCGGAACUGCUUUGGAAACUGUGCACCUAGAGUGCGGGAGAGGUAAGCGGAAUUCCUAGUGUAGCGGUGAAAUGCGUAGAUAUUAGGAGGAACACCAGUGGCGAAGGCGGCUUACUGGACCGUAACUGACGUUGAGGCUCGAAAGCGUGGGGAGCAAACAGG
rnacentral:rRNA from 1 species